rnacentral:rRNA from 1 species
UACGUAGGGGGCAAGCGUUGUCCGGAUUUAUUGGGCGUAAAGGGCGCGUAGGCGGUUCGCUAAGUUGAAUGUGAAAACUCUGGGCUUAACCCAGAGCCUGCAUUCAAUACUGGCGGGCUAGAGUUCUGGAGGGGAUAGCGGAAUUCCUGGUGUAGCGGUGAAAUGCGUAGAUAUCAGGAGGAACACCGGUGGCGAAGGCGGCAUCCUGGACCGACACUGACGCUGAGGAGCGAAAGCCAGGGGAGCAAACGGG